rnacentral:rRNA from 1 species
GAUCAUGGCUCAGGAUGAACGCUGGCGGCGCGCCUAACACAUGCAAGUCGAACGAGUAAGACGCCUUCGGGCGUGGAUAGAGUGGCGAACGGGUGAGUAACACGUGACCAACCUGCCCCCUCCUCCGGGACAACCUCGGGAAACCGAGGCUAAUACCGGAUACUCCGGGCCCCCCGCAUGGGGGCCCGGGAAAGCCCUGGCGGGAGGGGAUGGGGUCGCGGCCCAUCAGGUAGACGGCGGGGUAACGGCCCACCGUGCCUACUACGGGUAGGCCGGG